UGUGCUAUAGCCGGGUAUCGUCAAGGUUUUGAACCAUUUGGAAUCGAGAAAUGUGUGUAGAGAUAUAUCACUUCAUGCUCUGCACUCAAUUACCACAGCUAAUGGCAGCCGGCGAAUUUUGCAUGCUGUAAUUCUAUACCCCUUUCUAUUCUCUUUUUUUUUCGACUCUUCUGCCUUCUUACUUGCUUUCACACUUAUCAUGUUGCUUUUGCACUUAUCAUGAUGCGGACACAUCCAUGAGUCAUCCAGUUACUAUUCUGUUUUCUUCUUCAGCUUUAACUUUGUGCUUUACCCUUUCUAUACUUACUCUUAAUAUUCUAUAUUGUUAAUUCCCCUAGCGAGCGAAUGGCCCAGCAAAUUGCCCUCUAGGGAUAAGUGGAUCCUACAAAGCUGCGAUUUUUUUAUGAACACGAUGAUGAUGGCGUCUGUAUCUUUGUCUGUGUCUGUGUGUCUGUCUGUACGCAUGGUAUGCAUGCUCAUGCGAUUAGUUAAUAUUUGUUACAUCGUGUAGUUUAAAAACAUAUAUCUAAUCCUGUGCGAUGAGAAGUCGACUUUGUCAAGUAGGUUGAUUCAUGUACUCCCAACUUUCACGCUUCAUAUAUAUAAUAUAUAUUUAUACACCAC
rnacentral:sRNA from 1 species